AUUGAACGCUGGCGGCAGGCCUAACACAUGCAAGUCGAGCGAGCGGCGGACGGGUGAGUAAUGUAUGGGGACUGCCCGAUAGAGGGGGAUAACUAAUGGAAACGGUGGCUAAUACCGCAUACUAUCGGAUAACCCAUAUGGGAUUAGCUAGUAGGUGGGGGAAAGGCUAACCUAGGCGACGAUCUCUAGCUGGUAUGAGAGGAUGAUCAGCCACAGUGGGACUGAGACACGGUCCAUACUCCUACGGAGGCAGCAGUGGGGAAUAUGGCACAAUGGGCGCAAGCCUGAUGCAGCCAUGCCGCGUGUAUGAAGAAGGCCUUAGGGUUGUAAAGUACUGUCAGCGGGGAGGCGUUACCCGCAGAAGAAGCACCGGCUAACUCCGUGCCAGCAGCCGCGGUAAUAC
rnacentral:rRNA from 1 species